AACUCUGGCCAUGUUAUCAUAUGCCUCACCUCUCAUAGGCCUAGUUCCAAAGUGCACACAAAGUUACGUGUUUGAAUGUGGAAAAGAAAUCAGAGUAUUAUUUCUGUUUUCUGAUUGAAGCUGCCAUUAAGUUGGAGAGCAUCAACUUUGCAGGGUCAUGUGCGGGGCAUGAGACUUCUCAUUUAUUCCAGACGGAAGACUAUUCAUAGGAUUACCAGAAGGAGGCAGACUGCUUUGCGAGGAGAAAGAACAAAGGGUCACAGGGGAACCUGGAGCCUAUCCCAGCGAGCAUUGUGUACAAGGCAGGGUACACCCUGGACAGGGUGCCAGUCCAUCGCAGGGCACACUCACACAUGCAUUCACACACCCAUUCAUACACUAAGGACACUUUAAACAUGCCAAUCAGCCUACCAUGCAUGUCUUUGGACUGGGGGAGGAAACCAGAGUACCGGGAGGAAACUCCCACAGCACGGGGAGAAGAUGCAAACUCCGCACACACAGUGGGUAUCGAACCCCCAAACCUGCAGGUGUGAGGUGAACCCGCGAACGUGCUAACCACUAAGCCACUGUGCACCCGGAAAUUAUAUUGUGUAUUUUAAAAACUUAACCAAUUUGACUUGUUUUGGUGAUGUGUAGAAGAUAAUGCGAAAUGAGAUUGACUCCUGGGCCAGACCUUCUCAUGAAAAUAAUUUCAGUCUCUUGUUUAACUACAUAUAUACAACAUUA